rnacentral:tRNA from 1 species
UUCCUUGUGUCUCAGCUGCUAAAGAAUCCACCUGCAAUGUGGGAGACCUGGGUUAGAUCCCUGGCUUGGGAA